UACGUAGGGUCCGAGCGUUGUCCGGAAUUAUUGGGCGUAAAGGGCUCGUAGGCGGUCUGUUGCGUCGGGAGUGAAAAUUCACAGCUUAACUGUGAACUUGCUUCCGAUACGGGCAGACUUGAGGUAUUCAGGGGAGAACGGAAUUCCUGGUGUAGCGGUGAAAUGCGCAGAUAUCAGGAAGAACACCCGUGGCGAAGGCGGUUCUCUGGGACGGUACUGACGCUGAGACGCGAAAGCGUGGGGAGCGAACAGG
rnacentral:rRNA from 1 species